rnacentral:rRNA from 1 species
GACGAACGCUGGCGGCGUGCUUAACACAUGCAAGUCGAACGGUGAAGCGCCUUCCUUUUUGGUGGGUGUGGAUGAGUGGCGAACGGGUGAGUAACACGUGAGUAACCUGCCCCCUUCUUCUGGAUAACCGCAUGAAAGUGUGGCUAAUACGGGAUAUUCUGGGUCUGUCGCAUGAUGGGUCUGGGAAAGAUAUUGUUUCGGUGGGGGAUGGGCUCGCGGCCUAUCAGCUUGUUGGUGGGGUGAUGGCCUACCAAGGCGGUGACGGGUAGCCGGUCUGAGAGGGUGGACGGUCACACUGGGACUGAGACACGGCCCAGACUCCUACGGGAGGCAGCAGUGGGGAAUAUUGCACAAUGGGCGCAAGCCUGAUGCAGCGACGCCGCGUGAGGGAUGGAGGCCUUCGGGUUGUGAACCUCUUUCGCCAGUGAAGCAGGCCUGCCUCGUUUGUGGGUGGGUUGACGGUAGCUGGAUAAGAAGCGCCGACUAACUACGUG